UAGAGGAAGUAAAAGUCGUAACAAGGUUUCCGUAGGUGAACCUGCGGAAGGAUCAUUACCUAGAGUUGUAGGCUUUGCCUGCUAUCUCUUACCCAUGUCUUUUGAGUACCUUCGUUUCCUCGGCGGGUUCGCCCGCCGAUUGGACAAUUUAAACCAUUUGCAGUUGCAAUCAGCGUCUGAAAAAACAUAAUAGUUACAACUUUCAACAACGGAUCUCUUGGUUCUGGCAUCGAUGAAGAACGCAGCGAAAUGCGAUAAGUAGUGUGAAUUGCAGAAUUCAGUGAAUCAUCGAAUCUUUGAACGCACAUUGCGCCCCUUGGUAUUCCAUGGGGCAUGCCUGUUCGAGCGUCAUUUGUACCUUCAAGCUCUGCUUGGUGUUGGGUGUUUGUCUCGCCUCUGCGUGUAGACUCGCCUCAAAACAAUUGGCAGCCGGCGUAUUGAUUUCGGAGCGCAGUACAUCUCGCGCUUUGCACUCAGAACGACGACGUCCAAAAGUACAUUUUUACACUCUUGACCUCGGAUCAGGUAGGGAUACCCGCUGAACUUAAGCAUA
rnacentral:rRNA from 1 species